rnacentral:rRNA from 1 species
UACGUAGGUGGCAAGCGUUGUCCGGAAUUAUUGGGCGUAAAGCGCGCGCAGGCGGCCUUUUAAGUCUGAUGUGAAAUCUUGCGGCUCAACCGCAAGCGGCCAUUGGAAACUGGGAGGCUUGAGUACAGAGGAGGAGAGUGGAAUUCCACGUGUAGCGGUGAAAUGCGUAGAUAUGUGGAGGAACACCAGUGGCGAAGGCGACUCUCUGGUCUGUAACUGACGCUGAGGCGCGAAAGCGUGGGGAGCAAACAGG